GGACUACUGGGGUAUCUAAUCCCGUUCGCUCCCCUGGCUUUCGCGUCUCAGCGUCAGCAGGCGUCCAGGACCUCGCUUUCGCCACGGGCGUUCCUUCCGAUCUCAACGCAUUUCACCGCUCCACCGGAAGUUCCAGGUCCCCCUACGCCCCUCCAGGAAGGUCGUAUCCGUGCCCGUUCCCCGGUUGAGCCGGGGGAUUUCAGCGCCGGACGUGCCCUCCCGCCUACACGCGCUUUAAGCCCAGUGAUUCCGAAUAACGUUCGCACGGUUCGUCUUACCGCGGCUGCUGGCAC
rnacentral:rRNA from 3 species